GCCUGGGUGGCUCAGUCGGUUAAGCGUCCGACUUCAGCUCAGGUCAUGAUCUCGCGGUCCGUGGGUUCGAGCCCCGCGUCGGGCU
rfam:Felis catus isolate Cinnamon breed Abyssinian chromosome D3, whole genome shotgun sequence.